GAUGAACGCUGGCGGCGUGCCUAAUACAUGCAAGUCGAGCGAACGGACGAGAAGCUUGCUUCUCUGAUGUUAGCGGCGGACGGGUGAGUAACACGUGGAUAACCUACCUAUAAGACUGGGAUAACUUCGGGAAACCGGAGCUAAUACCGGAUAAUAUUUUGAACCGCAUGGUUCAAAAGUGAAAGACGGUCUUGCUGUCACUUAUAGAUGGAUCCGCGCUGCAUUAGCUAGUUGGUAAGGUAACGGCUUACCAAGGCAACGAUGCAUAGCCGACCUGAGAGGGUGAUCGGCCACACUGGAACUGAGACACGGUCCAGACUCCUACGGGAGGCAGCAGUAGGGAAUCUUCCGCAAUGGGCGAAAGCCUGACGGAGCAACGCCGAGUGAGUGAUGAAGGUCUUCGGAUCGUAAAACUCUGUUAUUAGGGAAGAACAUAUGUGUAAGUAACUGUGCACAUCUUGACGGCACCUAAUCAGAAAGCCACGGCUAACUACGUG
rnacentral:rRNA from 1 species